UGCAAGUCGAACGAAGUAGCAAUACUUAGUGGCAGACGGGUGAGUAACAUGUAGGUAUCUGCCCUUUGGCCUGGAAUAACACGAGGAAACUUGUGCUAAUACCGGAUAAGUCUUUACGGAGAAAGCUUUAUGCACCAUUGGAUGAGCCUGCACUUGAUUAGUUUGUUGGUGGAGUAAUGGCCUACCAAGACUGUGAUCAAUAGCUGAUUUGAGAGGAUGAUCAGCCACAUUGGGACUGAGACACGGCCCAAACUCCUACGGGAGGCAGCAGUGGGGAAUCUUGCACAAUGGAGGAAACUCUGAUGCAGCGAUGCCGCGUGAGUGAAGAAGGCCCUUGGGUUGUAAAGCUCUUUCGUCGGGGAAGAAAAUGACUGUACCCGAAUAAGAAGGUCCGGCUAACUUCGUGCCAGCAGCCGCGGUAAUACGAAGGGACCUAGCGUAGUUCGGAAUUACUGGGCUUAAAGAGUUCGUAGGUGGUUGAAAAAGUUAGUGGUGAAAUCCCAGAGCUUAACUCUGGAACUGCCAUUAAAACUUUUCAGCUAGAGUAUGAUAGAGGAAAGCAGAAUUUCUAGUGUAGAGGUGAAAUUCGUAGAUAUUAGAAAGAAUACCAAUUGCGAAGGCAGCUUUCUGGAUCAUUACUGACACUGAGGAACGAAAGCAUGGGUAGCGAAGAGGAUUAGAUACCCUCGUAGUCCAUGCCGUAAACGAUGUGUGUUAGACGUUGGAAAUUUAUUUUCAGUGUCGCAGGGAAACCGAUAAACACACCGCCUGGGGAGUACGACCGCAAGGUUAAAACUCAAAUGAAUUGACGGGGACCCGCACAAGUAGUGGAGCAUGUGGUUUAAUUCGAAGAUACGCGCAGAACCUUACCAACACUUGACAUGUUCGUCGCGACUCUA
rnacentral:rRNA from 1 species